GACGAACGCUGGCGGCGUGCUUAACACAUGCAAGUCGAACGGACAGGCCCUGCUUUUGUUGGUUUCUCGAUUGGCGAACGGGUGAGUAACACGUGUGUAUCCUGCCCUUGACUUUGGGAUAACUUCAGGAAACUGGGGCUAAUACCGGAUAGGAGCUCCUGCUGCAUGGUGGUGGUUGGAAAGUUUCGGCGGUUGGGGAUGGACUCGCUGCUUAUCAGCUUGUUGGUGGGGUAGUGGCUUACCAAGCCUUUGAGGGGUAGCCGGCCUGAGAGGGGUAACGGGCACAUGGGGCCUGAGAUACGGACCAGAAUCCUACGGGAGGCAGCAGUGGGGAAUAUUGCACAAUGGGCGGAAGCCUGAUGCAGAAACGCCGCGUGCGGGAUGACGGCCUUCGGGUUAAAAACCGAUUUGGACUGAGACGAAGCGUGAGUGACGGUAAUGGGUAAAGAAGCACCGGCUAACUACGUG
rnacentral:rRNA from 1 species